UACGUAGGGGGCAAGCGUCGUCCGGAAUUAUUGGGCGUAAAGCGCGCGCAGGCGGUCAUUUAAGUCUUAUGUUUAAACCCAAGGCCCAACCUUGGGACGCAUGGGAAACUGGGUGGCUUGAGUGUAGGAGAGGAAAGUGGAAUUCCACGUGUAGCGGUGAAAUGCGUAGAGAUGUGGAGGAACACCAGUGGCGAAGGCGACUUUCUGGCCUAUAACUGACGCUGAGGCGCGAAAGCGUGGGGAGCAAACAGG
rnacentral:rRNA from 1 species